rnacentral:misc_RNA from 1 species
CCGAGCGAGGGCCCUCGGCCCGACCUCCAACCCUUUUGUGAAUCAAAACCUGUUGCCUCGGGGGCGACCCGGCCUCCGGGCGUCGGGGCCCCCGGUGGACCAUCAAACUCUUGCAUCGAAGCGUCGGAGUAAACGAAAAAUUGAUGA